ACGCGCAGAACCUUACCACCACUUGACAUUACCAUCGCGAUUUCCGGAGACGGAUUUCUUCAGUUCGGCUGGAUGGAUAACAGGUGCUGCAUGGCUGUCGUCAGCUCGUGUCGUGAGAUGUUGGGUUAAGUCCCGCAACGAGCGCAACCCUCGCCUUUAGUUGCCAGCAGUUCGGCUGGGCACUCUAGAGGAACCGCCGGUGAUAAGCCGGAGGAAGGUGGGGAUGACGUCAAGUCCUCAUGGCCCUUACGUGGUGGGCUACACACGUGCUACAAUGGCAGUGACAAUGGGUUAAUCCCAAAAAGCUGUCUCAGUUCGGAUUGUCGGCUGCAACUCGCCGGCAUGAAGUUGGAAUUGCUAGUAAUCGCGUAACAGCAUGACGCGGUGAAUACGUUCCCGGGCCUUGUACACACCGCCCGUCACACCAUGGGAGUUGGUUCUACCCGAAGAUCGUGCGCUAACCCUCGGNA
rnacentral:rRNA from 1 species